rnacentral:rRNA from 1 species
UAAGGAAUAUUGGGCAAUGGACGCAAGUCUGACCCAGCCAUGCCGCGUGGAGGAUGAAGGUCCUCUGGAUUGUAAACUUCUUUUUUCUGGGGCGAAAACCGGUUUUUCUAAACCAUUUGACAGUACCAGAAGAAUAAGCACCGGCUAACUCCGUGCCAGCAGCCGCGGUAAUACGGAGGGUGCAAGCGUUAUCCGGAUUCACUGGGUUUAAAGGGUGCGUAGGUGGGCAGGUAAGUCCGCGGUGAAAUCCCCGAGCUUAACUUGGGAACUGCCGUUGAUACUAUCUGUCUUGAAUAUCGUGGAGGUAAGCGGAAUAUGUCAUGUAGCGGUGAAAUGCUUAGAGAUGACAUAGAACACCAAUUGCGAAGGCAGCUUGCUACACGAUAAUUGACACUGAGGCACGAAAGCGUGGGGAGCAAACAGG